AUGGUGCCAGGGCUGCCCCGAGAAGCCCCCAUGAAUAGGAGGGGGCGACACCCCCAUACUCACCCACCGUCUCCUCCCCCUCAGCUGUUUACCUCACAGUCCCUCCAGCCUACAGGGCGCCGCCAUCUUGGACGUACAGCACCUCCCCCCGUCGUGAAAUGUCCACGGCCGGCUGCAGCCUCCGCCACGAAAAAGAGUCCCCAGCGGGGUCUCGCCUGUCCCUCGAACCCAAUGACUGAUGAACGCGGUCGGCAGCCCCUUUGGACGGAAGGGGCCGUUCUGCUCAUUACUGACGACGCGAACCGGUGUAGAGAGAGCCAAGGAGAGUUUGUGAGAGUAUUUGCAGAAGCCCACCUCUGGGACUGCGGAGAACUACAGUGGCUUCUGCCGUCAGGUUGCUGACGCUUUAGACCUGCUCACGACAUUUAUGGAAAACCGUGCUAAUCGGAGCAGGCAGCUUUAAAAUCAGAACCGUACGUUCAGUUCCUGCUCUGCUGCUUCCUAGCUGUGUCGACCUGAACAAGUCUGGAAGUCCUCCGAGCCUCAGUUUUUUCCUCUGUGAAAUGGGCGUGGUAACGUUCGUGACGUGGGGAUUCAGAGAGAUCAAGGAUGGAGGGUGUGUUCCACACAGUGCCCCAUGCAGAGUAAAUGCUCCAUAGAUGAUGGUCCUUGUCACGCAGGAGGUGAGACAUGAGAAGUGCUAUGACUGAUACUAAACCGUGUGAGAGAGGGGGCAGGGAGUGAGAUGGAGUAUUCGAAAGGGAUUUUGAAGGAGUGGGCAUCUGGCUGGGUUUUAAAGGAAAGGUAGGUUUUAUGAGUCAGCCCUGGUGGUCAAGGUUCCCAGCUCUCACGUAGCAGGCCAAGUUCAUUUCCAGGUCAGAGAACCACACCACCUGUCCGUCAGUUGUCAUACUGUGGCUGCUGCGUGUUGCUAUGAUGGUGAAAGCUAUGCCACUGGGAUUUCAAAUACCAGCAGGGUCACCCAUGGUGGACAGGUUUAGCAGAAUUCCCAGAUUAAGACAGAAUAGGAAGAAGGACUUGACCACCCACUUUCAAAAAAAUUGGCCAUGCAAACCCUGUAAAUAGCUGGGGAGCAUUGUCUGAUACAGCCUGGAAGGUGAGGGGAUGGCUACACACAGGGUCACUAGGAGUCGGGAUUGACUCGAGGACGCUAACAACAUCAGGUUCUCUGAAAUAGAAAUGGGAGAGGUGGUUGGGAAGAAAAGGACAUUCCAGGCUGAAGGAAGCAAAGAACCAAAGGCCUGGAGGCACUAAAUGCUGCGUGAGUUAUGGGAAUAACAAGUUUUGAAAAACAAGUUUUGUCAUGGGAACCAAUUGGGUCACAAUGCCAGGCAGCCUCUGAUUUAAGGGGCCAGGUGUGUGAGUGCCAGCACGGUAGGUGCCGUCAGGAUUCCGAGAGGCAGAGCCUGGUCCCCGGCAGGGCUCCUGCUGGCCUGGAUGGUGCUUCUGUGAGGGUUAGACAAAACACCCGCUCUGGGCCCAUAGCCCGCCUGAGCAGAGCCCAGGCUGUGUUUCAGCUCCUACCCUCACACCCCAAACCCUCAGGCGGCCCUUCAGCAGUGCAUAACCCUUAUAACCAUGCUGGCUGAUGGGGGAGGUGGGCAUUGAGUUGAAGAUUCCACCAAUCUAACAUGGUCAUGGAGGCAGGUCAGGGAAGCCAAGCGUUCUUGAUUCAAACAGACUAGAGUUUGGGGCUGGCCCCGUGGCCGAGUGGUUCCCAUGCUCCGCUUCAGUGGCCCAGGGUUUUGCUGGUUUGGAUCCUGGGCGCGGACCUAGCACAGCUCGUCAGGCCAUGCUGAGGCGGCGUCCCACACAGCUCAACUAGAAGGACCUGCAAGUAGAAUAUACAGCUAUGUACUGGAGGGGCUUUGGGGAGAAGAAGAAGAAGGAAAAAAAGAUUGGCAACAGAUGUUAGCUCAGGUGCCAAUCUUUAAAAAAAAAAAAGACCAGAGUUUGAAUGCAGGUUUCUGCCACGGCACUAACUGGGUGAGCCUUAGGUUCCUCAUCCACAUCAUAGGGGUAAUAAUGAUGCCUACCUAAUGGGGAUUUGGGGUGGAUUCAGUGAUACAUGAAGAUACAAUUAGCAUAAAGCCUGGUUCAAUAAAUGUUACUUUUGUUACUGUGUUAACUGUCCU
rnacentral:lncRNA from 1 species